GGUUAAGCGACUAAGCGUACACGGUGGAUGCCCUGGCAGUCAGAGGCGAUGAAGGACGUGCUAAUCUGCGAUAAGCGUCGGUAAGGUGAUAUGAACCGUUAUAACCGGCGAUUUCCGAAUGGGGAAACCCAGUGUGUUUCGACACACUAUCAUUAACUGAAUCCAUAGGUUAAUGAGGCGAACCGGGGGAACUGAAACAUCUAAGUACCCCGAGGAAAAGAAAUCAACCGAGAUUCCCCCAGUAGCGGCGAGCGAACGGGGAGCAGCCCAGAGCCUGAAUCAGUGUGUGUGUUAGUGGAAGCGUCUGGAAAGGCGCGCGAUACAGGGUGACAGCCCCGUACACAAAAAUGCACAUGCUGUGAGCUCGAUGAGUAGGGCGGGACACGUGGUAUCCUGUCUGAAUAUGGGGGGACCAUCCUCCAAGGCUAAAUACUCCUGACUGACCGAUAGUGAACCAGUACCGUGAGGGAAAGGCGAAAAGAACCCCGGCGAGGGGAGUGAAAAAGAACCUGAAACCGUGUACGUACAAGCAGUGGGAGCACGCUUAGGCGUGUGACUGCGUACCUUUUGUAUAAUGGGUCAGCGACUUAUAUUCUGUAGCAAGGUUAACCGAAUAGGGGAGCCGAAGGGAAACCGAGUCUUAACUGGGCGUUAAGUUGCAGGGUAUAGACCCGAAACCCGGUGAUCUAGCCAUGGGCAGGUUGAAGGUUGGGUAACACUAACUGGAGGACCGAACCGACUAAUGUUGAAAAAUUAGCGGAUGACUUGUGGCUGGGGGUGAAAGGCCAAUCAAACCGGGAGAUAGCUGGUUCUCCCCGAAAGCUAUUUAGGUAGCGCCUCGUGAAUUCAUCUCCGGGGGUAGAGCACUGUUUCGGCAAGGGGGUCAUCCCGACUUACCAACCCGAUGCAAACUGCGAAUACCGGAGAAUGUUAUCACGGGAGACACACGGCGGGUGCUAACGUCCGUCGUGAAGAGGGAAACAACCCAGACCGCCAGCUAAGGUCCCAAAGUCAUGGUUAAGUGGGAAACGAUGUGGGAAGGCCCAGACAGCCAGGAUGUUGGCUUAGAAGCAGCCAUCAUUUAAAGAAAGCGUAAUAGCUCACUGGUCGAGUCGGCCUGCGCGGAAGAUGUAACGGGGCUAAACCAUGCACCGAAGCUGCGGCAGCGACGCUGAUGCGUUGUUGGGUAGGGGAGCGUUCUGUAAGCCUGCGAAGGUGUGCUGUGAGGCAUGCUGGAGGUAUCAGAAGUGCGAAUGCUGACAUAAGUAACGAUAAAGCGGGUGAAAAGCCCGCUCGCCGGAAGACCAAGGGUUCCUGUCCAACGUUAAUCGGGGCAGGGUGAGUCGACCCCUAAGGCGAGGCCGAAAGGCGUAGUCGAUGGGAAACAGGUUAAUAUUCCUGUACUUGGUGUUACUGCGAAGGGGGGACGGAGAAGGCUAUGUUGGCCGGGCGACGGUUGUCCCGGUUUAAGCGUGUAGGCUGGUUUUCCAGGCAAAUCCGGAAAAUCAAGGCUGAGGCGUGAUGACGAGGCACUACGGUGCUGAAGCAACAAAUGCCCUGCUUCCAGGAAAAGCCUCUAAGCAUCAGGUAACAUCAAAUCGUACCCCAAACCGACACAGGUGGUCAGGUAGAGAAUACCAAGGCGCUUGAGAGAACUCGGGUGAAGGAACUAGGCAAAAUGGUGCCGUAACUUCGGGAGAAGGCACGCUGAUAUGUAGGUGAAGUCCCUUGCGGAUGGAGCUGAAAUCAGUCGAAGAUACCAGCUGGCUGCAACUGUUUAUUAAAAACACAGCACUGUGCAAACACGAAAGUGGACGUAUACGGUGUGACGCCUGCCCGGUGCCGGAAGGUUAAUUGAUGGGGUUAGCCGCAA
rnacentral:rRNA from 1 species